CUCUGCUCUCCCUGCUUCCACCAUCUUGCAAUGUGAGACGCCUGGGUCACUGUCACCACCACCAGAUGGACUUUGAACUUCCCAGCCUCAGAAACUCCAGCGCAAGAUCCUUUUGAAUAUCCCAUGGCAGAACAUGACCUAUGAAAGUGAGUGCAAAAUGAUCCUGUUCCAUUUUAAAUGGAAUUUCAGAACGUGACCAUCAUACAUUCCAGCAGAAACAUUCUGAGAAUGAGGAAACCUGCUGCGAGCAUUGAAAUGAUAUUUCCUGGCUCUGCUGCUGCUAAAGUAACCUGUGGCAAAACAUCCCUGCUUCUAGAAAUAACACAGUUAGCAAUUCAAGGAAAACUUUCCAGCAUGACUACGAAGCUCUUUAUAAAUCUCAAAGAGACAAUAAAGGGAAAUAGACCCUGCAGCUUAUUAAGAGGUGGUAUAAGCUGGUGGUCGGAGCCUGCACUGUGGAAGCAGACCAGACUUAGAUGCCCGUCCACUGAUAGCACUUAAGAGCUAUGUAGCCUCAAGCAAUUUAUUUCUCCUCCCUGAGUUUCAGUUUCUUUCUCAAUACAAUGGAGAUAACAAUACUCAAAUUAGAGAAUUGCUGUUGAGAUUAAAUGUGAUAAUGCAGAUAAAGCACUUAACCCAGUGAUUGCCACAUAAUAAAGACUCAGUAAAUAUCAACUGUUAUUACUGAUAGUAUUAAUACAAAAGCUCACUGCUGAGACUUUCUGCAUUGCACAGGUUGGUAAUUCUGAUAUACUGGCCUUAUGUUCUGACAGUGAUAUUACAUCAACUGAAUAAAGAUCACCCAUCUAUCAAAA